rnacentral:rRNA from 1 species
AUGAGCAUCUCCGUGAACGGGCAGUCGGUGGUGCCGCCGGGGUUCCGGUUCCACCCCACGGAGGAGGAGCUGCUCACCUACUACCUCGCCAAGAAGGUGGCCUCGCAGCGCAUCGACCUCGACGUCAUCCCCGACGUCGACCUCAACAAGCUCGAGCCAUGGGACAUCCAAGAGCGCUGCCGGAUCGGAACUGGCCCGCAGAACGACUGGUACCUGUUCAGCCACAAGGACAAGAAGUACCCCACGGGGACGCGCACCAACCGCGCCACCACCGCCGGGUUCUGGAAGGCCACCGGCCGGGACAAGGCCAUCUACUCCGCCGCCGGCUCCGGACGCAUCGGCAUGCGCAAGACGCUCGUGUACUACAAGGGCCGUGCCCCACACGGCCACAAGUCGGACUGGAUCAUGCAUGAGUACCGCCUUGACGACGCCGUCGCCCCUCCGACCAACCCCGUCUUUGCUGCCGGCGACGCAAGUUCCUACUACUCCGGCAUCUCAUCCCCGGUUCACGACAUGGCCGGGGGCCAGUCAUCGUCGACACAGGAGGAUGGGUGGGUCAUCUGUAGGGUGUUCAAGAAGAAGAACAUCGUCGUGCAACACCAAGCUGGCCAGAGCGGCGGCGGUCGUGGCGCAGCGUCCAACAAGCUGGUCGGCGCCGGUGCCAUGAAGCAUAGCCAGAGCAACUGCUCGUCGACCGUGACCCCCGCCAGCGCCAACGCCAAGGCGCAGAUGCAGCAGCACCUGCCGCACAGCGACGACGCGCUUGACCACAUCCUCAACUACAUGGGCCGCUCAUCCACGGCAUCGUGCAGGCAGGAGACCAAGCCCCCCAACCCGUCAUCGUCAGCGCUGGACCACCUGAUCAACAGCGCGUGCCGCAACGGCACCAGCACCCUGUACGACAAGUUCAUGAAGCUCCCGCCGCUCGAGCACGUCGUCCCCGGCGGGCUCCUGCCGCCGCCGAACGAGUACGGCCGCGACUGGGACGCUCUUGACCGGCUCGCCGCCUACGAGCUCAACGGCCUCUCUAACCCCGCGUUGGCCGAGACAACGACAGACAUGUCCUACAUCGCCGACGAGCUCGGUGGCGUCACAUCCUACUCCGCCGGUGGCACGCUACACACUCCCUCCGUCACCGUGGCCGGCGACGGCGACCUGUGGAGCCUGGCGCGGCCAGUGUCAUCGCUACACGCAGACUUGACGAUGACCUGGUUUAAGGCUGUCGGAUGCUGA